GAUGAACGCUGGCGGCGUGCCUAAUACAUGCAAGUCGAGCGAAUGGAUUAAGAGCCUGCUCUUAUGAAGUUAGCGGCGGACGGGUGGGUAACACGUGGGUAACCUGCCCAUAAGACUGGGAUAACUCCGGGAGACCGGGGCUAAUACCGGAUAACAUUUUGAACCGCAUGGUUCGAAAUUGAAAGGCGGCUUCGGCUGUCACUUAUGGAUGGACCCGCGUCGCAUUAGCUAGUUGGUGAGGUAACGGCUCACCAAGGCAACGAUGCGUAGCCGACCUGAGAGGGGGAUCGGCCACACUGGGACUGAGACACGGCCCAGACUCCUGCGGGAGGCAGCAGUAGGGAAUCUUCCGCAAUGGACGAGAGUCUGACGGAGCAACGCCGCGUGAGUGAUGAAGGCUUUCGGGUCGUAAAACUCUGUUGUUAGGGAAGAACAAGUGCUAGUUGAAUAAGCUGGCACCUUGACGGUACCUAACCAGAAAGCCACGGCUAACUACGUGCCAGCCACCGCAGUAA
rnacentral:rRNA from 1 species